CCUACGGGAGGCAGCAGUGGGGAAUAUUGCACAAUGGGGGAAACCCUGAUGCAGCGACGCCGCGUGAGUGAAGAAGUAUUUCGGUAUGUAAAGCUCUAUCAGCAGGGAAGAAGAAAGACGGUACCUGACUACGAAGCCCCGGCUAACUACGUGCCAGCAGCCGCGGUAAUCCGUAGGGGGCAAGCGUUAUCCGGAUUUACUGGGUGUAAAGGGAGCGUAGACGGCUGUGCAAGUCUGAAGUGAAAGCCCAGGGCUCAACCCUGGGACUGCUUUGGAAACUGUGGAGCUAGAGUGCUGGAGAGGUAAGUGGAAUUCCUAGUGUAGCGGUGAAAUGCGUAGAUAUUAGGAGGAACACCAGUGGCGAAGGCGGCUUACUGGACAGUAACUGACGUUGAGGCUCGAAAGCGUGGGGAGCAAACAGGAUUAGAUACCCUUGUAGUC
rnacentral:rRNA from 1 species